rnacentral:rRNA from 1 species
UACGGGGGGGGCGAGCGUUGUUCGGAAUUACUGGGCGUAAAGGGCGCGUAGGCGGUUGGAUAAGUCAGCUGUGAAAACCACGGGCUUAACUCGUGGCCUGCAGUUGAGACUGUCUGGCUUGAGUGUGGGAGAGGAGAGUGGAAUUCCUGGUGUAGCGGUGAAAUGCGUAGAUAUCAGGAGGAACACCGGUGGCGAAGGCUGCUCUCUGGACCACAACUGACGCUGAGGCGCGAAAGCUAGGGGAGCAAACAGG